UACAGAGGGUGCAAGCGUUUAAUCGGAAUUACUGGGCGUAAAGCGCGCGUAGGUGGUUUGUUAAGUUGGAUGUGAAAUCCCCGGGCUCAACCUGGGAACUGCAUUCAAAACUGACAAGCUAGAGUAUGGUAGAGGGUGGUGGAAUUUCCUGUGUAGCGGUGAAAUGCGUAGAUAUAGGAAGGAACACCAGUGGCGAAGGCGACCACCUGGACUGAUACUGACACUGAGGUGCGAAAGCGUGGGGGAGCAAACAGG
rnacentral:rRNA from 1 species